GUGACAGGCCCAUGUUGAGAAGGGAGGUAACAGUGCUGUUGUUGGCAUUCGUCUCUCUCAAGAGGUAAUGGAGUGUGCCUCCAGCGGUUAAGUUAAACAGCUGUGUUAGCACUGAACUGACCUCCCGGGGGUGCAAGCCUGGGGAGUGCAUGGAGGACUGCCCAGAUGACAAGACCCCCCUCUCAGCCUCACUGAUGUGGUCCAAAGAAAAGCAGAGCAAUACAUUUGGCACCAGCUUGGCUGCAGCCAUCUUGUACAAUCAAAUUUUGUAUAGGGUUUACUCCUAUACAAUCUGAUUUUGUAUAGGGUUUACUCCUUAGCCUUUUCUUCUCCUGAAGAUAUCUCGCAUGGCAGUGGAGGUUUAGGAUUAGAGUUUUCCUUCUCCUAGAUGUGCUACCUUCCCAGAUUGACGAGUCCCAUCUGCUCUUCACUUCCCUCUAUGUCACAUGCAGAAACUGCCUUCUUGACCAAGUGGUCUUGUCUUCACAUGCAGGGGAAGUCCCUAACACACCAAGGGUAACAGUGUAAGGCAUGGAAAACAGGAGUAAAACAAGAAGCUCAAUUUCAACAAACAAUUCCCAUCUUCCUUGACUAGUGGCCAUGCUGGCUGGGGCAAUGGGAGUUGUAGGCCCAAAGAUAUGGAGGGCACAAGACUGGGGAAGGCUUCCUCAGAUGCCUUCUAUGUCUCCCACUAAAUGAGGUGAUGUCGGUGGUUUCUGUGAGGAGGGCCUUUUUGGUGGCAGUGCCCUAGUUAUAGAAUGUCCUUCCCAGAGAGGCUUGUCUGGCACCUACAUUGUAGUAUUUCUGGUGAAAACUCACCCCCUGGCCAGCUUUUCAGUUACAUGUGCUCAGGGCUUUUUUCCCCAGGGGGAAUUCACAGGAACUCACUUCUGGCAACUCUCAGGUGGGCACCAUUGCCAUUCUAAGAGAAUGAGGGAGGUGUUCAUGGUGAAUUUCAGCACCUCUUUUUCUAGAAAAAUAGCUUUUUGAGUGCUAUAGUAUACUUUGAGCUGUUGGCACUAAUUUACAUGUAACUGACAUUGUCACCUUAUUCUGAACAAACCUUGUGUCUGUGCACAUAACCCCUUCUGUCUUUCCUCCAUGACAUGAGCAUACGUGCCAGGAAGUCUUCAGUUAAUUAUAGUUCCUGUUCAAACCAGGAAGCCUCCAAUUAACCAUAGUUCCCCAUUUCAUCUGAACUUGGAAACGAUAGCCACCAGUUUCGGAGCAAGGCAGGAUAGAAAUUGUAGCUUCUUCCAAAAUUGGUAACCAUAGUUUCCUGAUUUCAGAUGAAAUAGGAUUGGGAAACUAUGGUUAGUCACUUCCUGGUUUAAUCAUAGCUCAAGAGGACAGGGUAGCAUGAAUGUGGAAAAGGAUUGGUCAUAUCUCAGGGUAUUAAUCCGAACCAGAUCAGUCACACAUCAUUCCUUUGUUAACCCUGCCUCCACUUUCCUCCCUUCUGGUGCUGAGUUUUAGAUCGCAAGUCCCUCCAGGCAAGAACCCUUGCAAUCUUUAGUGGCAUGUAUCCUAGGGUGGCUAGCUACAAGAGAGGUCAGGGCUCCUGCACCUUUUAAUAGUUUUGUAGAAGAAAGAUGUAGCUUGCCAGGUUUACACUAUAUUAACAAUAUAAUUAUUUCAGUAUCAGUGUCCAAUUUAUAGAAUUCCCUUCCCUCUCAUGUAUGGCUGAUGCCAACUCCCAUGGUGUUUUCAGCUCAUGUAUUUGCCCUGGCAAUUGAAGCAGUCUUCGUAGCAAACAGUGCAGUGGUACGGCGUCACUUACUUGGCCUCCUUCUGGUCAAGCUGCUGCUGUUGACUUUAACUCCUUUUGUAUUAGUUUUAGUGUCACUUGCCCUAAGAUUGCCUUGGCAAUGGAAGAGCAGGUGCCUAACAUUUAAAAUAGCAUAUUUACUAUUCAACAUGUGUGUACCGCUUCAAAAAAAAACCCCAGAAAAGUAAAAAAGCAUUUAAAAAAAUAAUACAGUGUAAAUUCCACAUUCAGUACUAUGCAAUGCUACUAACUCCACAUUUGAAGUGACCUAGUUAAGCAACCAGGGGACGCAGGUGGCGCUGUGGGUAAAACCUCAGCGCCUAGGACUUGCCGAUUGCAUGGUCGGCGGUUCGAAUCCUCGCGGCGGGGUGAGCUCCCGUCGUUCGGUCCCAGCUCCUGCCCACCUAGCAGUUUGAAGGCACCCCCAAGAGCAAGUAGAUAAAUAGGUACCGCUUUAUAGCGGGAAGGUAACGGCGUUUCCGUGUGCUGCGCUGGUGCUGGCUCGCCAGAGCAGCUUCGUCACGCUGGCCACGUGACCCGGAAGUGUCUUCGGACAGCACUGGCUCCCGGCCUCUUAAGCGAGAUGAGCACGAAACCCCAGAGUCGGACACGACUGGCCCGUACGGGCAGGGGUACCUUUACCUUUACUUUUUAGUUAAGCAACAGUAAAUAUCUCCACACAUAAGUAAUAAAAUAUAAUCAAACAUCAUUAAUGCGCUUGGACUCAAGUGUGAGCCGCGGACAUUAAAUAACACAGCCGUGGUCAGCAGACGAUAGCCAUGAUUAUUUCUGCCAUUAGCAGGCUGUGAAACUAAACCUCAAGUCCCCCCAGCCCAUUUUUCUGAAGGGUGCCUCUCCAUAUUUGCAGGCUGCUUUAAAGGUCCCUCUCCCAAGGCUUCCUGUAUACCUGUGUCAAAACUAGUUGAAGGCCUUUUGCCUAAAUCUUUGUCAGCAGCUGACUUAAUUUGUGGCUUACUGCUCCUGACAGUUUAUUGGGGAAGCAAAGCGUGCCUUCAUCUCCAAUAAUAAACAGCCCACCCACAGAUACUUUGACAGAGUUAAUGGUUUUUAUACAAAAAUGGACAGACUUAAUGUUUCGGCUGUAGCAAUCAUCAGUUCUGAUCUCCUUAAUGAAAUUAGAUUAAGUGCACCUGGGAAAAUGCUGAGACGGCACAUUGCCUUCAUCACCUCCUUUAAUUUAAAACCAAUUUGUGGGGAAAAUAUUCUCUGAAGCUGAGGGAUGCAGCAGGAGAAGGAGGGAGUGAGGGGCAAAAAAGGAGAUUUUAAAAUCUAUCUGGAUAGCUGCUGGCACUUUUAAUUCCUUUCCCCAAUGACAAUGUGAAUUAUUAAGUCUUAAGAAAGAGUUUAAAGACUCAUUCGCUAACCCUUCUUCUGCCUUUCAUAGAGAAGGGGGGAAAAUACAUUUAAAGUCACGUCCAAGGACACAGCACUGCUCUCUAUGUGUUUAUUUUGUUUGCAAAAGGGUAGCUGUAAGUUUGCCUGCCAUGAUCUCCCUCUGCCCAAUAAUGGAAAUUGACCUCACUGGGGCCAAACAUCACCACCAUCUAACAGAAGCAGAGAGGGAAGUGAGGGGCAAGGAAAAACUUUCACUCACACACUUAUCUUCCCUCUCUCUCCAGGGAAAUAAUUGCAUUUUCGCACGUCCACAGUAGCCCAGUUCACAAACCAUAGUAAGCUAUAUUUAAUAGAGGAAACAAAUGCUCACAAUGGAUCCAUGUUAACAAGUAGGUUGGUGAUUCGAGCCUACCCAGGGAUGACUGCAGGGGGUUGGGCUACAUGACCCUUAGGAUCCCUUCCAGUUCUAAGGCAGUUCUGCCUUAGUGUUAUAUUCAAACCAGGGUUUGUGGUAUGCUUACUUCCAGUUCAAGUUAGGAGUUGCUAAGGUGUGAUUCAUUUAUGCACUUAAGCAUGCUUUAUGGCAGGGAUCAGCACCCUUUUUCAGCCGUGGGCUGGUCCACCGUCCCUCAGACCAUGUGGUGGGCUGGACUAUAUGGGGGGGGGGGAAAUUCCUAUGCCCCACAAAUAACCCAGAGCUGCAUUUUAAAUAAAAGGACACAUUCUACUCAUGUAAAAACACGCUGAUUCCCGGACCGUACACAGGCCUGAUUGAGAAAGUGAUUGGGCCGCAUCCGGCCCCCGGGCCUUAGUUUGCCUACCCCUGCUUUAUGGUUUACGGAGACAUGCAAAUGUGGCAAUUGUAAUUUGAAAUCAGGAAAAAAUACAUCCUCCCAAACCAGAAGCACACUCUUGAAGUUCCCACUUUUGAUCCCAACACACAAAAAAGCAAAAUUUGCACACCUGAUGCAUUAUAAAUGGAUUGUCUGGACGGAAACAGGAGGCCAUCUCUUAACUGCUAAUAUUAUCUUAUUCUGCUCUUUCAUAAGCUUGCUAGAAACAUCAGCAGGAUGUUUUAUGUUUGCUUGUUUGUUUUUGCUUUCAAUGAACCACUUGCUAAUCUUUAUUGGUUCCAAAGUUCCAUUCAGAAACCCCAGCCUUAGCAAGCUCUCAAACCUAGGACGAAUGGAUAGUUUAUACAUUUUAUAUUGACUGGGCACUCAGUGAUGAUGACAUGUACGCUCAUCCCUGCAGGCCACUUGACAGUGAAGGAUUAUAAGCAUUGCCAAUAUUCUGUGAACUAUAAUUGUAUCCCUGCUUGCCUUCACCUAGGUCCUUUAGAAAAAAGAGUAUUUCCAAAGACAGUUGUACUUAGACUGUUAACAUACCAUCCUAAAAGGAAUAUAGCCCUUCGUCCAAUCCCCCUACCAAUCACAAAUAUUUCACUGCAAGCUCAUUGAUGGUCUCAAGCCUUUGUACAGUUCCACCCUGGCCUGGCACACACACAUUUCUCAUGCAAUGUUAAUUAGUUUGCAGAUAUCUUUUUUUUUUAAAAAAAAGAUAUUUAUUAAGAUUUUCAAAAUAUUAC
rnacentral:lncRNA from 1 species